rnacentral:rRNA from 1 species
AGGACGAACGCUGGCGGCGUGCUUAACACAUGCAAGUCGAGCGGUGAUCCUCCUUCGGGAGGUGAGCAGCGGCGAACGGGUGAGUAACACGUGGGCAACCUGCCCCUCACACUGGGAUAACCUCGGGAAACCGGGCUAAUACCGGAUAUGACCUCGAGCGGCAUCUCUUGAGGUGGAAAGCUCCGACGGUGAGGGAUGGGCCCGCGGCCUAUCAGCUUGUUGGUGGGGUAAUGGCCUACCAAGGCGACGACGGGUAGCCGGCCUGAGAGGGCGACCGGCCACACUGGGACUGAGACACGGCCCAGACUCCUACGGGAGGCAGCAGUGGGGAAUAUUGCGCAAUGGGCGAAAGCCUGACGCAGCGACGCCGCGUGAGGGAUGAAGGCCUUCGGGUUGUAACCUCUUUCAGCAGGGACGAAGCGAAAGUGACGGUACCUGCAGAAGAAGCACCGGCUAACUACGCGCCAGCAGCCGCGGUAA